rnacentral:rRNA from 1 species
CCCUUAGAUGUUCUGGGCCGCACACGCGCUACACUGAAGGAGGCAGCGUGUACUCCUGGAUCGAAAGAUUUGGGUAACCCGCGAAUCUCCUUCGUGCUAGGGAUUGUGGUUUGCAAUUAUCCUUCAUGAACGAGGAAUUCCCAGUAAGUGCAAGUCAUAAGCUUGCGCUGACUACGUCCCUGCCCUUUGUACACACCGCCCGUCGCUACUACCGAUUGAAUGAUUUAGUGAGGACUUCGGACUGGGACCGAUGCGGCUUUCGGGCUGCGUCGGUAUUCUGGAAAGAUGUCCAAACUGUAUCAUUUAGAGGAAGUAAAANUCGUANCA